ACAAACUUGGUCAUUUAGAGGAAGUAAAAGUCGUAACAAGGUUUCCGUAGGUGAACCUGCGGAAGGAUCAUCAAUGAAUUUCCAAAUUCAUUUGGCUUUGGUGUUGGGUGGAACCCCCGGACCCUUCUGGGUUUUGGCACCCCCGUCCCCAUUGCCUUUUAUCAACCAUCAGUCUCUGUUCUAGCUCCAAGGUGUCUCGGCGAAUGCCUUUUUGUUUUGGCAUUUGAUCUCUUGAGCCCUUUGCGGGGGAUAGACUUAGACUUUUUUGAGUAGUUUGGAGUGGGUUUCGCCUAGUUAUUUUUUUGGGUGGGUUUUUACCUUCCAAUAAAUUACGCAAGCACACACCCCUCUUUUCUUACUCGUCAUUGUGGGCAUUAAACAAUUAAAAUACAACUUUUAACGAUGGAUCUCUUGGCUCCCGCAUCGAUGAAGAACGCAGC
rnacentral:misc_RNA from 1 species